rfam:Lutzomyia longipalpis Contig22499, whole genome shotgun sequence.
AAAACGGUCCUUUUCAGGACCACAAUAAAGUUCAUAAAGAUCUUUA